UACAGAGGGUGCGAGCGUUAAUCGGAAUUACUGGGCGUAAAGCGCACGUAGGUGGCGACGUAAGUCGGGUGUGAAAGCCCCGGGCUCAACCUGGGAAUUGCAUUCGAGACUGCAUUGCUGGAGUACGGAAGAGGAAGGCGGAAUUCCCGGUGUAGCGGUGAAAUGCGUAGAUAUCGAGAGGAACACCUGCGGCGAAGGCGGGUUGCUGGGCUGACACUGACGCUGAGGCGCGAAAGCUAGGGGAGCGAACGGG
rnacentral:rRNA from 1 species